AAGACGCUAGUAAAACUAUUACAUUGCUUUGUCAAGGCAAAAUUGUGGAUUAACCCCCCGCGUGUCUUA
rnacentral:tRNA from 1 species